rnacentral:rRNA from 1 species
UACGUAGGUGGCGAGCGUUGUCCGGAAUUACUGGGUGUAAAGGGAGCGUAGGCGGGAAAGCAAGUCAGAAGUGAAAACUAUGGGCUCAACCCAUAGCCUGCUUUUGAAACUGUUUUUCUUGAGUGAGUCAGAGGCAAGCGGAAUUCCCAGUGUAGCGGUGAAAUGCGUAGAUAUUGGGAGGAACACCAGUGGCGAAGGCGGCUUGCUGGGGCUUUACUGACGCUGAGGCUCGAAAGCGUGGGGAGCAAACAGG